UUCUUUUUGGAGACCUUCGAUAAAUUUAGAAUAAUAUGGAGAAAAUUAGUAUAGCCCCUGCAUAAGAAUGACAUGUAUAAAUUGAGAAAUGGUUGAAAUUUUU